rnacentral:rRNA from 1 species
CGGACGGGUGAGGAAUACAUCGGAAUCUACUCUGUCGUGGGGGAUAACGUAGGGAAACUUACGCUAAUACCGCAUACGACCUACGGGUGAAAGCAGGGGAUCUUCGGACCUUGCGCGAUUGAAUGAGCCGAUGUCGGAUUAGCUAGUUGGCGGGGUAAAGGCCCACCAAGGCGACGAUCCGUAGCUGGUCUGAGAGGAUGAUCAGCCACACUGGAACUGAGACACGGUCCAGACUCCUACGGGAGGCAGCAGUG